AACAGUAGCCACGAGCUAUACCUAAUACAUGGCCGCCCAACUAUGAGCACGAUCAUGAUCAUAUAGGUAAAAAUGUAUUACCUUACUAUACUUUCAACUACUUUUAAGCAUUGCGCUACAUUAUUUCUACGAUUUGCUGUAUAUAGUUUUGAUUAAAAGGUAAAUCAACUAUAUCUCGUGGUAUAUCCGAGAAAAUUGAACAUUUUCCACCAUCGCGAACGAAUUGCCAUUAAAUGUAGUUACUCCUUU